GCAGACACAUUCCAGCCAAUCAGCAGCAGACCCUCCCUCCCAGAUCCUCCCACCUCCUGGACAGCAUCCAUUGUGAAGCUGCAUUCUUAGUGAGCUGUCCAGGAGGUGGGAGGGUCUGGGAGGGAGGGUCUGCUGCUGAUUGGCUGGAAUGUGUCUG